GGUUCUAUGGUGUAAUGGUUAGCACUCUGGACUUUGAAUCCAGCGAUCUGAGUUCAAAUCUCGGUAGGACCU
rnacentral:tRNA from 1 species